AAUUCGUACAAGGGGUGCUCGUAUUUCGGGCUGAGAAUAAACGGUUACGUUUUAAACUCUAAGCUUUAAGCUUUGUACCUGAUCCAGCUAAUACUGGCGGAGGGAUGUAUUAAUCGCAUACU
rnacentral:ncRNA from 2 species